AAUAAACAGAUGUUUUUAACAUUAUAUGAACAUGUUUGGUAAUGAACAGAUGUUCAAGAUUUAAUAUGAACAUGUAUGGUAAUGUACAGCUGUUCAAAAUGCAAUAUGAAGCAAAAUGUUUAGUAAUUAACAGAUGUUCAGCAUGUUCUACAUGCAACAUGAACAUGUUUGGUAAAGUACAUGAUUCAACAUGAUCAUGAUGAUACAGAUGCUAAAUAUGUAUAUAUCUUUGUUACAGGAGUAUUGCGCAUAGAUGGAUACCAUUGGUGACUAGGUAUAAUUAAGGUAGACUCUCAACAUUAAUUAUGAUAUUUAUGAUGAUGACUAGGAUUAAGACAGUUGUGUGACAUAUGACAAUGUUGUGUGAUAUGCCCGUGAUUGGCAGUAGACAGGAAUCACACAGGAGGCCAUUUACAGCUCCUUCACUGUCACUCCAGAAACUGGAUAUCAAUCUAUAGGCCAUGGAUUAUCAUCAAUUCUCAACAAUCCAGGGAGAUAACUGUCAGUCUUGAUGGAGAAUGAUGAAAGCGUCGAAGGGUCAGUUUAGUGACAAGAUGACCCGAAAACAGCAGCACUCUCCCACGCAAGAAGAGAUUAACAACUCCCUGUUUGAAGUAUUUGAGAUUGACAUUGAUAAUUUUGCUGUCAAGGACAACAGGUUUGCUACUUA